rnacentral:pre_miRNA from 1 species
ACAAUAUAAUUUGGACCGUCGGUCUACCGAGAAACUUCAGCCGCUCGGUAGCAGAUCUUCCCUUUGUCAU